rnacentral:rRNA from 1 species
UACGUAGGGUGCAAGCGUUAAUCGGAAUCACUGGGCGUAAAGGGCGCGUAGGCGGCAAAUUAAGUCAGCUGUGAAAUCUCCGAGCUUAACUCGGAACGGUCAGCUGAUACUGAUCUGCUAGAGUGCGGAAGGGGCAAUCGGAAUUCUUGGUGUAGCGGUGAAAUGCGUAGAUAUCAAGAGGAACACCUGAGGUGAAGACGGGUUGCUGGGCCGACACUGACGCUGAGUGCGCGAAAGCCAGGGGAGCAAACGGG